UCUCAUCCCGUCCUGCGGAGAAAGGGUGGAGUGUGAGUGGAAAUGCAAGGGCAUUCUUGGGGCCGGACGCCAUAUCUGCUGUCCGCCCACCGCCUGGCUCACAUGAUAUAAGUUCCUCCGUUGUGGUCCAACACCGUGGCUUGACUCACCAGACCCCCACGGACCCACCAGACCCCCACGGACUCACCAGACCUCCGCGGCGCAGGAGAGACACAUCCCA